rnacentral:rRNA from 1 species
CCUACGGGAGGCAGCAGUGGGGAAUAUUGCACAAUGGGGGAAACCCUGACGCAGCAACGCCGCGUGAGUGAAGAAGUAAUUCGUUAUGUAAAGCUCUAUCAUCAGGGAAGAAAAUGACGGUAGCUGCGUAAGAAGCCCCCGCGAACUACGUGCCAGCAGCCGCGGGAAUAAGUAGGAGGCAAGCGUUAUCCGGAUUUACUGGGUGUAAAGUGAGCGUAGACGGCAGUGCAAGUCUGGAGUGAAAGGCGGGGGCUCAACCCCCGGACUGCUCUGGAAACUGUACGGCGGGAGUGCAGGAGAGGUAAGUGGAAUUCCUGGUGUAGCGGUGAAAUGCGUAGAUAUUAGGAGGAACACCAGUGGCGAAGGUGGUUUACUGGACUGUAACUGACGUUGAGGCGCGAAAGCGUGGGGAGCAAACAGGAUUAGAUACCCCAGUAGUC